rnacentral:rRNA from 1 species
GAUGAACGCUGGCGGCGUGCCUAAUACAUGCAAGUUGAGCGAACGGACGAGAAGCUUGCUUUUCUGAUGUUAGCGGCGGACGGGUGAGUAACACGUGGAUAACCUACCUAUAAGACUGGGAUAACUUCGGGAAACCGGAGCUAAUACCGGAUAAUAUUUUGAACCGCAUGGUUCAUAAGUGAAAGACGGUCUUGCUGUCACUUAUAGAUGGAUCCGCGCUGCAUUAGCUAGUUGGUAAGGUAACGGCUUACCAAGGCAACGAUGCAUAGCCGACCUGAGAGGGUGAUCGGCCACACUGGAACUGAGACACGGUCCAGACUCCUACGGGAGGCAGCAGUAGGGAAUCUUCCGCAAUGGGCGAAAGCCUGACGGAGCAACGCCGCGUGAGUGAUGAAGGUCUUCGGAUCGUAAAACUCUGUUAUUAGGGAAGAACAUAUGUGUAAGUAACUGUGCACAUCUUGACGGUACCUAAUCAGAAAGCCACGGCUAACUACGUG